CCUUUCCCUCACAGGCAUGCUCUACGGAGGGUAUGGGAGGCGAGGGCGCGUCUAUGAGGGCCAGAGUCCGCGAAGAGAGUCCGGCCCUUAGGCCUUUGGUGUUGAAGAAUCUGCUCCUCUGUCGGGUCAAGCCCCACUAGAAGUUAACACCUGUGGUCUCCAAACUUGCCUAUUUUCCUGUCACGCAGUUCAAGCCAAGAUUCAACUCGUCUUGAAUUUUUGUAUUUAGAGCCCCUACCUUCUCCACCGACUCCAGGGGCGCCCUCUGGCGGGAAGGGGCCUGGGGUAGGAGGGAACCUGAGGGAGCGGGUUACAAAGCAGAGAACAGCGGGAGCUCAGCAGCUCCCUUUGAAUUGCGAGGAAACCAAGACGGAGACGGGAGGUAGGAGCACGGGCCUGAAGCGGUCAGCCGACCCUGUGAGGCCCGCGCUGCCGUGCUACGCCGCGAAUCCGCCAGACGCCCCCGUCGGAAGGGGCAGGGACACCCUCGGGGGCGCUCUAGGGUUCGUGCUGCGCUAAGUGUGAAGAGGAAAAGUAAAACCAGCAGCAAGAAGACUGUAGAGAUCCAGCUGUGAGAAGACAGCGGCCCAUUCACUACAGUGGCUCUGGGUUCUGGCCUCUGGACUCAUGACUGGACCAAGCCCUCCAGGAAUCACUUUGUCUCCCCUCUCUCAUUCCCUGAUGAAGACAAGUCUCUGUGAGGUUGUUGCCGCCUCCUAGCUAUUAUGAAUAAUAAUGCAAUGAACAUGAAGAUACAGAUGUCUUUUCAAGG